GUGUGUAUCACUAGAGAACUUGUUAAAAUGCAGGUUCUGGUCCAAUAGCCCUGGAGUAGGGCCUGAGAUUCUACAGUUCUAACAAGUUCCCAGGUGAUGAUAAU
rnacentral:pre_miRNA from 1 species